ACACAUGCAAGUCGAGGGGCAGCAUGAAAGGAACUUCGGUUCUUUUUGAUGGCGACCGGCGCACGGGUGCGUAACGCGUAUCGAACCUGCCUCAUACUCGGGGAUAGCCUUGCGAAAGUAAGAUUAAUACCCGGCGGUCUCGGAUGGCCGCGUGACUAUCCGAGUGAAGAUUUAUCGGUAUGAGAUGGCGAUGCGUCCCAUUAGCUUGUUGGUGAGGUAACGGCUCACCAAGGCAUCGAUGGGUAGGGGUUCUGAGAGGAAGGUCCCCCACAUUGGAACUGAGACACGGUCCAAACUCCUACGGGAGGCAGCAGUGAGGAAUAUUGGUCAAUGGACGAAAGUCUGAACCAGCCAAGUAGCGUGCAGGAAGACGGCCCUCUGGGUUGUAAACUGCUUUUAGUUGGGAAUAAAAAGAGGGACGUGUCCCUUAUUGUAUGUACCAUCAGAAGAAGGACCGGCUAAUUCCGUGCCAGCAGCCGCGGUAAUACGGAAGGUCCAGGCGUUAUCCGGAUUUAUUGGGUUUAAAGGGAGCGCAGGCGGCGGCGUAAGUCAGUUGUGAAAUCGUGCGGCUUAACCGUGCAAUUGCAGUUGAUACUGCGUCGCUUGAGUGCACACAGGGAUGUUGGAAUUCAUGGUGUAGCG
rnacentral:rRNA from 1 species